CCCCUUUUUUAAUAUUUAUUUUUUAGUUGUAGUUUGACACAAUACCUUUAUUUUAUUUAUUUAUUUUUUAUGUGGUGCUGAGGAUUGAACUCAGGGCCUCACAUGUGCUAGGUGAACACUCUACCACUGAGCCACUACUCUAGCACCCCAAGCCCUUUUUUGUGUUUUAUUUAGAGACAGGGUCUCACUGAGUUGCUUAGGGCCUCACCAUUGCUGAGACUGGCUUUGAACUCAAAAUCCUCCUGUCUCAGCCUCCCAAGCCACUGGGAUUACAGGAGUGUGUCACCACACCCAGCUCAACUUGUAUUUAUUUCUUAAAACUAUGCUAUUUCACAAGUAAUAGAAAAGAUGGGUAAGCUUUCUGUCCUUAAAUUAAGCAUCUAAUACCAGAUUUAUAAUAUAACUGGUGUAUGACUAAAACUGGCUUUUUAUCCCCCACUGAAUUUAUUUGUUUGAAUUUUAUAUGGAUACAGACUGAAGAACCUUGAUCUUAUAAAAGACUUCAGAGUAAGCUUGGUUAGAGACUAUACUAUGAAGACUUAACCAUCAUAAUUAACUGUGUACUUUGGAUUCCUCCAAAAUACUGGCAUUUCCUAGGAAACAUUCAACAAUCAAAAACAAAACCACUCACUUUGGGCUCAAACGCAUACAGCAUCUGCCAGCCAUGCCCAUGAAUUCCUGAUGUCCCAGUGAGUGCCUCUGCCUCUGCCUUUGCCUCACAAAGCCCCUUGUUUGCCAGGGGUUAACCAUGU